CAGUCCAUUGGUCAGGGUUCCUGUUGUUCUGUGUGGUUCUACCCUCCAGUCCAUUGGUCAGGGUUCCUGUUGUUCUGUGUGGUUCUACCCUCCAGUCCAUUGGUCAGGGUUCCUGUUGUUCUGCGUGGUUCUACUGUAGAACGUUGCUCAGAGCCAUGUGUCGGCUCUGGGCCCUCACCAGCCCCGCCGCCGCCACUGAGGCGGUACUGGCAGACCUACACCGGGGGGCAGCCCCAACCCCCCCCCAGCUCCCCGCCGGGGGCAGUGGACUCUGAACCAGUCA
ensembl:lncRNA